GGUGACGUAGUUCCCAGCACUCGGGAACCGGGAGCGGGAAGGAGAGGAGUCAGCGCACGUGUGUCCCUUUUCCCGCUGACGGACCGGCGGCGGCGGCGGCGGCAGAGGAGGAGUCGGCGGCGGGGGAGCAGCAGCUGCCCCCCGAAGGCCCAGGCACCGAAGGAAGAAGCAGCCCGGGGAGUGCCCUCCGCAGCAGAGUGGCAGACGGUCACGGCCAGGACCGGAGCAGCUCGCAGCGAACCGGUACCAGCUUCUCCAGUCCGACUGGUGAACAGAUCAAGAGAUCCACGAGGACCCAGAGGAGGAGGCGACGAGUGCUCAUCAUAGGCGACUCCAUCCUGAGAGGUACGGAAGGACCCGUCUGUCACCAGGACCCCUCGGCACGAGAGGUAUGCUGCCUGCCUGGAGCAAGGAUUCGGGAUGUGACGGAAGUAAUCCAGGCCAGGAUCAAGCCCUCCGCUUACUACCCCAUGGUCCUAGUCCAUGUGGGUACUAAUGAUGCGGCCAGGAGAACCCCCGAUCACCUGAUGGCGGACUACUGUGCUCUGGGCGGCGUGCUGAAGGAGUUCGGUGCACAG